AUUGAACGCUGGCGGCAGGCCUAACACAUGCAAGUCGAGCGGCUGCAGGGAGCUUGCUCCUGCAUUCAGCGGCGGACGGGUGAGUAAUGCCUAGGAACCUGCCUGGUAGUGGGGGAUAACGUCCGGAAACGGGCGCUAAUACCGCAUACGUCCUGAGGGAGAAAGUGGGGGAUCUUGGGACCUCACGCUAUCAGAUGAGCCUAGGUCGGAUUAGCUAGUUGGUGGGGUAAAGGCCUACCAAGGCGACGAUCCGUAGCUGGUCUGAGAGGAUGAUCAGUCACACUGGAACUGAGACACGGUCCAGACUCCUACGGGAGGCAGCAGUGGGGAAUAUUGGACAAUGGGCGAAAGCCUGAUCCAGCCAUGCCGCGUGUGUGAAGAAGGUCUUCGGGUUGUAAAGCACUUUUAGUUGGAAAGAAGAGCAGUAAGUUAAUACCUUGCUGUUUUGACGUUACCAACAGAAUAAGCACCGGCUAACUUCGUG
rnacentral:rRNA from 1 species